rnacentral:rRNA from 1 species
GACGAACGCUGGCGGCGUGCUUAACACAUGCAAGUCGAACGGUAAGGCCCUUCGGGGUACACGAGUGGCGAACGGGUGAGUAACACGUGGGUGAUCUGCCCUGCACUUCGGGAUAAGCCUGGGAAACUGGGUCUAAUACCGGAUAGGACCACUGCCUGCAUGGGUGGUGGUGGAAAGCUUUUGCGGUGUGGGAUGGGCCCGCGGCCUAUCAGCUUGUUGGUGGGGUGAUGGCCUACCAAGGCGACGACGGGUAGCCGGCCUGAGAGGGUGACCGGCCAGACGGGGACUGAGAUACGGCCCAGACUCCUGCGGGAGGCAGCAGUGGGGAAUAUUGCACAAUGGGCGCAAGGCUGAUGCAGCGACGCCGCGUGAGGGAUGACGGCCUUCGGGUUGUAAACCUCUUUCAGCACCGACGAAGCGCAAGUGACGGUAGGUGCAGAAGAAGGACCGGCCAACUACGUGCCAGCAGCCGCCGUAA